rnacentral:rRNA from 1 species
CCUACGGGUGACAGCAGUGAGGAAUAUUGGUCAAUGGGCGCGAGCCUGAACCAGCCAAGUCGCGUGAGGGAAGACGGUCCUAUGGAUUGUAAACCUCUUUUGUCGGGGAGCAAAAGACGCCACGCGUGGCGUUCCGAGAGUACCCGAAGAAAAAGCAUCGGCUAACUCCGUGCCAGCAGCCGCGGUAAUACGGAGGAUGCGAGCGUUAUCCGGAUUUAUUGGGUUUAAAGGGUGCGCAGGCGGAAGAUCAAGUCAGCGGUAAAAUUGAGAGGCUCAACCUCUUCGAGCCGUUGAAACUGGUGUUCUUGAGUGAGCGAGAAGUAUGUGGAACGCGUGGAGUAGCGGUGAAAUGCAUAGAUAUCACGCAGAACUCCGAUUGCGAAGGCAGCAUACCGGCGCUCAACUGACGCUCAUGCACGAGAGUGUGGGUAUCGAACAGGAUUAGAUACCCGAGUAGUC